GUGCUGCUUGAAAGGAGAGAAGGUUAGCACUCGCCUUGAUAAGGAUGGAAGAGGUCAUUGUGGCCUUUACAAUAAAUAUACGGUUAGGGCGUUUCCAAAAAAAAAAGGUAAAAGACAGGCAUUUGA